GUUUUUUUCAUUGGAAGUUGUCGCUGCCGUAGGUCAAGCCAAAGGGAAUGGAUUGGCUCCACCUUGAAGUACUGAUGUGAAGCCAGUGAGCAUGACAAAGUGCCAUCUGUCAGUAUGAUCCUCAAAUCAGGCAACCUCUGCAGAUUGCUUUGUAAAUCUUCGGAAACUUUUUUCUUUUACAAGAGACUAUUACAUAUUUGAGAGAAAAUAUUUAUAUUAAUGGCUUAAUCUCUUUGUAUGUUUAAAAUUAAAAAUAAAUAUAUCUCUUCUCAAAAAUAUUCUAAAUUAUAGAACUGAAAUUUGUGAAAGCAUAAACUAUAUUAUAACUUAUAAAACCAUCCAGUUUUUUGGUCUGUGUUGUAAAACAGUCCAAGGAUAAGGCAAAUGAAUUGAGAGCUGAUUUACAUCUGUAGAUAACUAAGACUUGUUUGUUAGUGAUGACAAACAAUAGUUUAAAAUUACUCUGAUUUUCAUAAAUUGUUUUAAUGAUAAAGUGACACUGAGAUAUUCCCACCCUCAUCCAGAGGUUUGAAGUGUACUGUGAAAUUUCACAUGAAGAAGGAACUGAGUGAACUCUAAGGGGCUCUGGUGAGAAUUGUGAAAUUCAUAACUUACAUCCUUGACACUAAUCUUUUGCUUGUGAAAGAAUUAUUUCCAUGUUAAUGAGAUUUGAAUUGUAAAUGUGUUGGUUGAAUCUAUUACUCAGUUUAGUGAGUCUACAAAGAGUGGGAAUCUGAAGUAAGCAGUUUUUUGAUUAUUUUGUGAAGUAAAAUGAUAGCAGUCUAUCUAUCAAGAAAAGAAUAAAUAUUACUAAAGUAUAAUCAUGUGUGGAGAAAACAAUAUUUAAAAAUCUUGUAGGAGGCUGUACAUUUUGCAGAGUUUGCUAUACUUAUUAGCCAUAGUUACACCAAUUCAGGAAUUGGGGGAGCUAAUUAUUUAAAACUAUCAGCAAUGAAGGAUAUAGUACUAAGUAAAAUUAAUUUUUUUUUUUGCUUUUGUUUUGAGACAGGAUUUCACUAUGUUGCUCUGGGCUGGGCUGUAACUCACUCUGUAGACCAGACUAGCCUGGAACUCAAGAGAUCUGCCUGUCUCUGUUUCCCAAGUGCUGGGGUUAAAGUGCACCACCAAGCCUGGUGGAAUUGUCUUAAUGGAUUGAAGUGUGUAAACUUCAUGAAACCUGCCUUUGGUUACAGUACCUUUGCCUUUAAAAACUAUUCACAGUAUAACGUGUGGAAGUUUGGAUCACAGUCUUCCAUUUCAUUUCUAGUAGUUAGGAUACCUAAAAGUUUAGUCCAUCAUCUGUGUUUCAAAUGUUUAAUUAGAAGGGUGCAACUCGUGUCAAAUAAAAUUACUGCUUACCAUCAACUAGUCAAAAUGACUGUUAUUGAAAUAGUCUGAAAGUGGACAGGAUUACAGUCCAGAGAACUGUGUGUCGGUUACAAGUGUAGUAUCGGCUUGUCUGUCUUCUCUUUUUUUCUCUGUAGUAGUUAUUAUCUUACAGUCUUGAGGCUCAGAGACGGAGUGAAGUGUAGAUAGCAAGACUCUACUACCUCUUAGUCCCUCACAUCUCCCUCUUCCCUUUCUGCCUGCCUCUGGCACAGCAGUCACAAGGACUGUGUGAUGCCUCUGGGAAAAUUACUCUUUUCCUUUUCAAGUGGAUUUACAAUAAAAUUUUGUUUAUAACCUUCCAGCAUUGGUUCUUGACUUUGGAUCCAAAGCCCCAGUAGAAGAGAAGAUGGAGCAGAGCUCCGGCUUUUUGCGGUGUGUGACCUUAGUAGCCCCUCAAGCUUGGGACUGGGAACGCAUUCUGGGAGACUUGUGUGCAUAGCUGUCAGUUCACACCGGUUGAUAAUGCUAAGGAAGGCUUUCCAGAAGCAAGACUGAAACUCAGAAUGCCCCAUUCAGGUUUUAUUUAUUUAGCUUUGACAACACUCAUGGACAGGAUACCAUCCCUGAAAAUUUUAGCAUAAGAGGAACUUCAAAUUGCUAGAGAGUCAAAGCCCUGUUACAAAUUUACUUAAAAUCCGAAACCAAGUAGCAAUUUCUAAAAUUGAUUUUUAUUUCAUUUUUCUCAUCUUUUAAUACAUGUGUAUACUUUUCUAUGGUGUAAAUAAUAUUAACACGAUACAUUUUAUGGUACAAAUAAUUAUUACUUGAGUAUUAUACCAUUAAAUUAGAAAAAUUUCAAAUAUAGAGAAAAUAGUAAAAUAGCAAUAUUUUACAUGUACUCUUCCCAUACUAUUUUGCCAUAUUGCUUCUGAUUUUUAAAGAAAUAAAAUGUUACUCUUUU
rnacentral:lncRNA from 1 species